rnacentral:rRNA from 1 species
GACGAACGCUGGCGGCGUGCCUAAUACAUGCAAGUCGAGCGAUCAGAGUUGGUACUUGUACCAACUGGAUGAGCAGCGGACGGGUGAGUAACGCGUGGGGAAUCUGCCUUUAAGCGGGGGACAACUUCUGGAAACGAAUGCUAAUACCGCAUAAAAUCUUUAAACACAAGUUUUAAGUUUGAAAGAUGCAAUUGCAUCACUCAAAGAUGAUCCCGCGUUGGCUUAGCUAGUUUGUGAGGGAAAGGCUCACCAAGGCGAUGAUACAGAGCCGAACUGGGGGGGUGAUCCGGCAAAUCUGGAACUGGACAACGGCCCAAACUCUUAGGGGAGCCGCAGGAGGGAAUUUUUGGGAAUGGAGGAAAGGCUGAACGAGGAAACGCCGGUGGGUGAAGGAAGUUUUUGGGAUGGAAAACUCCUUUGGUUGGGAAGGAAGAUGGGGAGAGUUGACAGCGCAUGUAGUGACGGUACCUACCCAGAAAGCGACGGCUAACUACGUG